rnacentral:rRNA from 1 species
UACGUAGGGUGCGAGCGUUGUCCGGAUUUAUUGGGCGUAAAGAGCGUGUAGGCGGCCAGGUAGGUCUGCUGUGAAAACUCGAGGCUUAACCUCGAGCUGUCGGCGGAAACCAUCUGGCUAGAGUCCGGAAGAGGAGAAUGGAAUUCCCGGUGUAGCGGUGAAAUGCGCAGAUAUCAGGAAGAACACCCGUGGCGAAGGCGGUUCUCUGGGACGGUACUGACGCUGAGACGCGAAAGCGUGGGGAGCGAACAGG